rnacentral:rRNA from 1 species
AAGUCGAACGGGAACUACUUUAUUGAAACUUCGGUCGAUUUAAUUUAAUUCUAGUGGCGGACGGGUGAGUAACGCGUGGGUAACCUGCCUUAUACAGGGGGAUAACAGUCAGAAAUGGCUGCUAAUACCGCAUAAGCGCACAGAGCUGCAUGGCUCAGUGUGAAAAACUCCGGUGGUAUAAGAUGGACCCGCGUUGGAUUAGCUAGUUGGUGGGGUAACGGCCCACCAAGGCGACGAUCCAUAGCCGGCCUGAGAGGGUGAACGGCCACAUUGGGACUGAGACACGGCCCAGACUCCUACGGGAGGCAGCAGUGGGGAAUAUUGCACAAUGGGGGAAACCCUGAUGCAGCGACGCCGCGUGAAGGAAGAAGUAUCUCGGUAUGUAAACUUCUAUCAGCAGGGAAGAUAGUGACGGUACCUGACUAAGAAGCCCCGGCUAACUACGUGCCAGCAGCCGCGGUAAUACGUAGGGGGCAAGCGUUAUCCGGAUUUACUGGGUGU